UAUUCGUUUUUCUUUCGCCUUAACUUCUUCAUUUCCUGGAGCUUCCUAAUUUAAAAAACUGUCAACAAAUACUUGAAAACAAAAAAUUAAAAGGCUUUUUGACAUACCAAUUCUUCAAACUCUUUCAAAUUAUAAAGUGUUCCUAAUUUAUUCCAAACGUCCUGAGCCUUAAUUGUUGAUCUUUUGCAGCCAUCACGAAUUUCUCGUAAAAUCCCUAUCAUAUAAAAAUUUUUUUCUAUUCCUAUUUUUUAAUUAGUGAAUGAAUGCAAUAAUUUGAUAACAUGCAGCUUUUAAAAUAAGAGACCGAGCAAUUAACCUUUCGAACACUUACCUACAGGGCGCAAUCCACGACAAAUAGCUUUUAACAGUAAGGUUUCCUCUAAAACAGACCAUUCAGUAACAGAAUCAUUCAUAUUUGAUUCUUUAUUUACAUCCUCCUGCCUUUUCUGCUCGGCAGCAGUUGAUGAUCUUGUUCCCCUCGAACUCAUAAAUACAAUUGCUAUCCUCUAAUACAUAGGUUUAUAU